CGGAGGGAUCAUUAAAGAGUUCUAUAACUCCCAAACCCAUGUGAACAUACCUAACGUUGCCUCGGCAGGUCGCACCUACCUUGUAGCACCCUACCCUGUAGGGCCUACCCGGGAGGUGCGGGUAAGCCUGCCGGCGGCCCACCAAACUCUGUUUGAUAUUGAAUUCUGAACCUAUAACUAAAUAAGUUAAAACUUUCAACAACGGAUCUCUUGGUUCUGGCAUCGAUGAAGAACGCAGCGAAAUGCGAUAAGUAAUGUGAAUUGCAGAAUUCAGUGAAUCAUCGAAUCUUUGAACGCAUAUUGCGCCCAUUAGUAUUCUAGUGGGCAGGACCGUUCGAGCGUCAUUUCAACCCUUAAGCCUUCGUUGCUUAGUGUUGGGAGCCUACGGCAACGUAGCUCCUCAAAGUUAGUGGCGGAGUUGGUUCACACUCUAGACGUAGUAAUUUUUUAUCUCGCCUAUUAGUUGGACUAAUCCCCUGCCGUAAAACCCCUAAUUUAUCAAGGUUGACCUCGAAUCGGUUCAGACAAACUCGCUAAAUUGAAGCAUCUUAGUCAGCGAAGGAAAAGAAACCAACAGGGAUUGCCCUAGUAACGGCGAGUGAAGCGGCAACAGCUCAAAUUUGAAAUCUGGCCCUCGGGUCCGAGUUGUAAUUUGUAGAGGAUGCUUUUGGCGCGGUGCCUUCCGAGUUCCCU
rnacentral:rRNA from 1 species